rnacentral:rRNA from 1 species
CUACGUGCCAGCAGCCGCGGUAAUACGUAGGUGGCAAGCGUUGUCCGGAAUUAUUGGGCGUAAAGCGCGCGCAGGCGGAUUGGUCAGUCUGUCUUAAAAGUUCGGGGCUUAACCCCGUGAUGGGAUGGAAACUGCCAAUCUAGAGUAUCGGAGAGGAAAGUGGAAUUCCUAGUGUAGCGGUGAAAUGCGUAGAUAUUAGGAAGAACACCAGUGGCGAAGGCGACUUUCUGGACGAAAACUGACGCUGAGGCGCGAAAGCCAGGGGAGCGAACGGGAUUAGAUACCCCGGUAGUCCUGGCCGUAAACGAUGGGUACUAGGUGUAGGAGGUAUCGACCCCUUCUGUGCCGGAGUUAACGCAAUAAAUACCCCGCCUGGGGAGUACGACCGCAAGGUUGAAACUCAAAGGAAUUGACGGGGGCCCGCACAAGCGGUGGAGUAUGUGGUUUAAUUCGACGCAACGCGAAGAACCUUACCAGGUCUUGACAU